AAGCAACACUUCUGUAAUUUUUUAUGAUGGAUGAUGUGUUAUACUGCUCAUAAAUUUUUUUUUAUUGCUCUUCAGAUUUGUUGAGGUAACAUUGAAGCUGGUCUAGUAAGCUUUAGUACCUU